rnacentral:rRNA from 1 species
UGCCAGCCGCCGCGGUAAUACGAAGGGUGCUAGCGUUGUUCGGAAUAACUGGGCGUAAAGGGCGUGUAGGUGGUUUGAGAAGUGAGAUGUGAAAGCCCUGGGCUUAACCUAGGAAGUGCAUUUCAAACUAGCAGACUAAGUGUACGAGAGGGGAAAAUGGAAUGGCGAGUGGAGCAGUGAAAUGCGUUGAUAUUCGUUGGAACACCGGAGGCGAAGGCGAUUUUCUGGCUCGAUACAGACACUGAGGCGCGAAAGCGUGGGGAGCAAACAGGAUUAGAUA